GAACCAAAUGCGAUUCCCCGGCUGCCCUGCGGGAGUUAGAGUCGCCUAGUUCUUCACCCCUUCCGGAGGCGUGUCUGCUCAAUCAAAUCAAAUACUGAACAACUUCCUGGCGGAGAGGCUGAGAAUUUUAUACUUGCUUGCUCUAAAGCACCCCAAAUAAGAUGAUCCACUCCAACACCUCCCCUUUACAGCAAAAGGCUGAAGCUCAAAUACAUUAACUACCCUUCCCAAGGUCAGAUAGCCAGCUGGUAACAGGGCCCAUGAGGAACUGAAUUCUACAUCUAACUGAUUGAAAAGCUAUGUUCUUUGGCAUUUGAUUAUACUACUUUAAUCAU
rnacentral:sRNA from 1 species